CAUGGUUGUCGUCAGCUCGUGCCGUGAGGUGUAAGGUUAAGUCCUUGAACGAGCGCAACCCACGUCGUUAUUUGCCACGGAGCAAUCCAGCUACUAUAACGAUACCGCCGGCGACGAGCCGGAGGAAGGCGUGGACGACGUCAAAUCAUCACGCCCCUUAUGUCCAGGGCUACACACAUGCGACAAUGGUCGGAACAAUGAGUUGCCAAGCAGUAAUGCGGAGCUAAUCUCCAAAGCCGGCCUCAGUACAGAUCGAGGGUUGCAACCCACCCUCGUGAAGAUGGAGUUGCUAGUAAACGCAAGUCAGCUAUAUUGCGUUGAAUACGUUCCCGGGUAUU
rnacentral:rRNA from 1 species